UACGUAGGGUGCGAGCGUUAAUCGGAAUUACUGGGCGUAAAGUGUGCGCAGGCGGCCGAGCAAGUCGAGUGUGAAAGCCCCGGGCUUAACUUGGGAAUUGCGCUCGAAACUACUUGGCUGGAGUGUGGCAGAGGAAGGUGGAAUUCCAGGUGUAGCGGUGAAAUGCGUAGAGAUCUGGAGGAACACCGGUGGCGAAGGCGGGUCUCUGGGCCGAAACUGACGCUGAGGAGCGAAAGCGUGGGGAGCGAACAGG
rnacentral:rRNA from 1 species